rnacentral:tRNA from 1 species
GGGGUGGUGGCUCAGAGGUAAAGUGCUUGCCUAGCACGUGUGGAGCCCUGAGUUUGAUCCUCAGCUACCACA